rnacentral:rRNA from 1 species
GACGAACGCUGGCGGCGUGCUUAACACAUGCAAGUCGAACGGAAAGGCCCUGCUUUUGUGGGGUGCUCGAGUGGCGAACGGGUGAGUAACACGUGAGUAACCUGCCCUUGACUUUGGGAUAACUUCAGGAAACUGGGGCUAAUACCGGAUAGGAGCUCCUGCUUCAUGGUGGGGGUUGGAAAGUUUCGGCGGUUGGGGAUGGACUCGCGGCUUAUCAGCUUGUUGGUGGGGUAGUGGCUUACCAAGGCUUUGACGGGUAGCCGGCCUGGGAGGGUGACCGGCCACAUUGGGACUGAGAUACGGCCCAGACUGCUACGGGAGGCAGAAGUGGGGAAUAUUGCACAAUGGGCGGAAGCCUGAUGCAGCAACGCCGCGUGCGGGAUGACGGCCUGCGGGUUGUGAACCGCUUUCGCCUGUGACGAAGCGUGAGUGACGGUAAUGGGUAAAGAAGCACCGGCUAACUACGUG